AAUCACUCGUUUAGUUUGCAGGCAUGAAAUUCCAUUGUUCAAAGAAUUAAACAAAGCUGCCGACUUAUUUCAUAAUGAAAUGAAAUCCUUGCUUCAUGUGUAUUCUCCAUCUGCAAUAUUUAAUACUGAUCAAUGUGUUUUUAACUAUGAAGUUACUUUCCAACAUACAUUACCGGAAAAAGGAGAAAAAACAACAGUUGGUUAUGCACAAUCACCACGUAACAAGAUCACCCACUCGUAUACAGUGCAAUGUAUGAUAAGCUGUGAUGGAAGAGUCAUUGGAGAGAGAGUAGUUGAAUAGUGUUAAGCAAUGCAUUCCUUUGUUUGCAAGAACCAAAUGGUGUGUU
rnacentral:lncRNA from 1 species